UUGUUUAACCCUUGAAGAACGUAAGGCUGAGGCAGGAUCUCCUAGCUAUCUACCUAAUAGGGAGUUACAGAGAAGAGAGUUUCACGCUUCUUGGAAGCAUACAGCAGAAGAACAGUAGACGUGGCUACAAGUUGCAAGAGAAACUCCAUCUGGACACGAGGAAAAAAAAUCACCAGAGUAUUCAACCAGUGGAAGAGGUUGCCCAUAAAUUGAUGGGAUCUCCAUAAUGGAGAUACUAAAAACCCAACAGAACCAGCCUCUGAGAAACGUAAAUUAACUUUGAAGUUAGUCAUGUUCUGAGCAGUAAUUCUUCCUUCACCCUUAGCUUUUGGCAUAUAAUUCCCUGAAAGCUCACCCGUAACUUACGGCAAGGUAAUUGCCUUCUCUGAGCAUAGCAUAUCUGAAUGCCAGUUUCCAUGACUGGUCAGAUCACAGAGCACCUUUAACGAUGCAGCUCUCUGGUAACAGAACAAGUUUGGCUUCUCCUGGUGCCUCACAGCAGCUGGAAACAAAGCUGAGUGCCCUCCAGGGCAGUGAGAGUGUGUGCAAGAUGGAUAACUCUUCCACUGCAAGGCAAGAUGGAAAAGACUGCAGAACAAACAUGAAGGCUUUGCUCCUUUGCAGGCACAGGAAUCGUGCUUUUCUGUCCUUUCAUGUGAUCCGCCUACCACAGAAAGUUGCUAACAAGGACUUGGAAAGUAAAAUGUGCAUUAAAUGAACGGGUUUGGCAGAAGAAACAUCUGUUUAACUGGAGUGGAUGACUUCAGCUGCAAUGUGCUGCAGAGACCCAGAGCAGUGCUCAGCAGGAUGACCUCUGCCAGAUCAAUCUUCAGCGAGAGAACAUCUCACAAAGCAACUGCCCCACCUCCACCUGUCAUUUCUUGAGGAAGACCUACAGAAAAUCAUAGAAUCAUAGAACCACAGAAUGGCCUGGGUUGAAAAGGACCACAGUGAUCAUCCAGUUUCAACCCCCCUGCUAUGUGCAGGGUUGCCAACCACCAGACCAGGCUGCCCAGAGCCACAUCCAGCCUGGCCUUGAAUGCCUCCAGGAAUGGGGCAUCCACAACCUCCUUGGGCAACCUGUUCCAGUGUGUCACCACCCUCUGUGUGAAAAACUUCCUCCUAAUAUCUAACCUAAACCUCUCCUGUCUCUGUUUAACAAGCCUAGGAAAUAAUAUUCAACUCUGUUGGCUACUAAAAGUCAGCAGCUCAGCAGUGCCACGUGCUUCACGCUGUCCUGCAGUGCUUCAUGCACCCUGCAUCUACUGAUCCCUCUGUCCUCAGGUGCUCCCUGCCUGGUGCUGCCACAGGACACAUCCCACCUGUCCUUGCCACCACCCUCUGUGGUCCACAGGUGUCGCCUGCUUAUGCUUUUACAGUGAUUUUACUAAAGGUAAACUGAACUCAAAGCGAUCACUCCUCACCAGCAUCAUGACAUUUGCAGCCUCUGUCUCAGACUGGUAAAAGAGCUCGUCUGGCCAAGGUUGACAUACAGUUUUUGAGAGCCUAAUCAAAAAUUAGAGCUACAAUCAUUUCUUGUCUGUGUCCUGAGGCCUUCAGAGCCGUUACAAGAGUAAAUAAGUGAUCAGACAUAUCCUUUUCUCGUCGUCGCAGCAAGGCUUAGGCUCCCUUCUGGAAGGGAGCAGCUCAUAACAAAGGCAGAGCGAUUCCUCUGCUAUCUCUGGUGGUUUUUGCAAAUGUGAAAGAUGUGCAGACAUAGCAGAGAAAAAAGAUAGCAAGUAAGCGCAGACAAACAUAGACGUCUUCACAGGAGGAAAAUUCCCCCACCCCAGUACAGACUUUUGGCUGAAGGAUAAUGUCUUUGUUCCCGGAUCCAAGAUGCUGUCACUCCCGUUUCAUUAUUCCUCCUCUAAAAGAAACAGACUUUUCACAUUCUUUGUAAAUGAAAAGGAUUGCAUUAAGUAAAAAACCUGUUUAUUGUUAGCUUUUCUUCUUAACAGAAACUGCCUGCAGGGUCCCUCGCUGUGGCCAGCAGUUUGACAGAAAGCAGUAAUAGUCCUGUGAGUGAAUCCAGUGUGGUAUGUGCAUCCUUAUUAGCCAGGAUUAAUGAAAAUGAAGAAGAAGGAAGUUGUGCUGGGUGGAUGCUGGAGCAUUUGGGCAUUUUGGAACUGAUCAGCUAGUUGAGUUUUGAUAAGUUUGCAGAUAAGUGCUCCAGGACACCAUCAAGCCUCUCUCUCCACAUAGGUUACAGCUCCAGGUCGUUAGAAGCCUGAAAGUCCUCUUUGCAAAGAUUAAAUCUGCCUCCUCCUCUACGAAUACUGGCACUGUAAGAAAGACUGCAAACUUAGGAACAUCCCAACCUGUCUUACAAAAGCGAGACUGCGCAUCAAAAUGUUAUAUGCUAUUCAUUACCAACAUUUUAAAGAGCUCAGGAAGACUUCCACACACGAGCUGAAGAAGAACAGCCCAUGCAGCUGGACCUCACGUUGUCCCAUGUUUAAAAGUCGUUAGAGGGACAAAAUGUAAAGUAACGUGAUGGGGCUGUCUUGCAAAUGAGUGGAAGUUGGAAAAUAUAACACUUCAAAUAGGACCAUCUCUUCCAGGACUGAAUGCUUGAUGAUACAGAGGUACAGUCCUUAGGUGGCGUAGACCUUUUCAUCGUCUCAGGUGAAGACUGCAGGGUUACAGAGAUGUGAAAUUAGGCCAUGGGAGAGAAUAACUGUAUAAAAUAAGCACCUGAUGAUGAGUGUCACAGUGGCAUAGCUGGUGGUUCAAACGUGUGGCACCUUGGCAGCAGGGUCCUCUGGCUUGGAGCUCCAAGAAAGCCUUGGUGUAUAACUGUUUUAUGAGACUUCUCGUGUCCGUCGCCAUGAACUUAUCAGAAACACUGGUCUUAUCACCGUGAGAUAGUACUAUUUAUUAAGGCUUAUAGUGUAACAACUGACACUCCUCACACUGUGUAUAAACUCUCCUUCGAAGUCUAAAGAUUUAUAAAAAGAGAGUGAGGAAACACAGAUACUGGGGGGAUGGAAAGCUGUCAGCGAGAGCCCUUUGGCUGAGCCUGUCCUGUCGCCAGGAGGGUCUGUGCUCUCAGAACACAAGCACCAGAGAAGAGCAGCUCCAAAACCCAAUGGCUGCAUUGCUGCAGGCCACCGGCAUUGGUCUCUUUAAGCAAGCAGCGAGGGCAGAGGGGGUGAAAGAUGGAGCCUGCCCAUCACCUGUGCCAUGUGGCUGAGAUGGAGCCAUGGGGAACCCGAGAAGAAACAAAGGCAUGGGGAUCAUUUUAAAAGCUCCCUUUCAUGGUCUGAGAGUUCACAAGCUCAGCAAACAAUCAUUUCUCUGUGGGUUUUGCUGGAGUUAAGUGGAAGGCUGUAAGGAGUCCUGCCACCUCUCACAGAGCCACAGCUUCAGGGGCUUCUGUGCUUCAGCCCUGCAGUCUCAAGCCCGUGUUGGAACAGGACCAGAAUGAAGCCCUGACAUAUGUUGCAGCCAAAGAUUUCCCAGGGUUCCCAAGACGGUUGCGGGAAGCCAAGCGUUCUUAAAUUCUUCGGAAAAUCCCAAAUGCGCCCAUGAUGACAAAGGGCAGCUUCUGGUCUCACCCAAAUAGCAACCAGCUACAAGUCAGUCUAUUUGUCCUUCCCGUGACAUCUUAACAGCAGAGAUUAUGCAGAAGGCACUUUGCCAAUCUGUGCUGGCUCUUUCUGCAGCUGGUUGAUAGAGAAAGGAGUGGCUUCAACCAUCCGGCCCAAGGUUCUUUCAGCAUAACCUGCAUUCACUCAGCGAUUUGCUAACUGGAUAAAAAGUCUUGGUAACAUUCAAGACAGCAUGGCUUCACAGUGACAGCUAGCAGACAGCAAGGGAAGUGAGACCUCCUACAUCCACCAGAAAGAAAAAAGGGAAAUGCCUUGGUCGCAGUCUCUCCUACUCUGCCUACUCUGAAGCCAAGCCAGAGGCACUGACCUCAGGAAUGGGUUUCUUAAAGACUUCAGGAAACUCCAGACACCUGGUUAACUUCCAUAUUUUAGUCUUCUUCAUUGUCAUUACAUCUACCCGAAAACAGACUCCUUCUGUGCUUUGCCACGAUUCUGAAUCUAAAUCAUCUCUGGACAUCACCUCAUCUUGCCCUCGGCCACCAAAACCAGUGGCGUUUACUGGCACUGGUGCAGGAGUAUCCCUCGAUGACAGAAGAUCAGAGCUUUUGUCUGCAAUCCAUGCAUGUCUAAGGGUGCUAAGGAAAUAAUAGGAAAUGACAAUGAGCUUAACAAAUGACAUAUCAAGGAAUAAAUACUCCCGUCAUUAGAUUAUGCUUAGCAUAUACUGGAUACAAUUAAUACAAUUACUCUGACUAAGUGAUAGUAAAAGCCUAUGAGCUACCAGUGUUGCAGCUUUACACAUAUUAAUGACAACAUCACUCUGAAGAUUUAUUCAUUAUACUGAUUUUACUGGUGGGGAAGCACAGGUUAAAUAAGUUUUCUAAGGCCACACAGCAAGUGCUUGGAUUUAUAACUUCCAAGUCUGCCUUCUGCUCCACCCAACAGGCCAUGCUGACUCACUGUGGAAUGCAUAUUUCCACCAAACUUUUAAGGGAAAGAGGAACAAAAGGUACAGAUAAAGAACUAAUUCCAAUAAAUAAAUGUUUUCUGCCACUCAAAAAACAUGACCCACCUUCUGUUUUACUUGUCACACUCAUCAGCAUGUUGGCCAGAAACGGGAGCACCAGAAUAACACGCGGGAGAUUGCUCUGACAGCAUUCUCAGCAAAACUGCAAGCCAGACACAACACAGCCUUAUGGCAUGAGAUUUCCAUCACAAAGAAAAUCAUUAGAAAUUCAGAGAAUCCAGAACUGUUCCCUUUUAUGCAGAUCCUGGCAUCCCCAAGAC
ensembl:lncRNA